AAUGGGACCCUACUUGCCCAAUACGCACCCAAGUGGCCAAGUUCCAACGCUAGGUCACUGCUGUGCUGCUACCUUACUCUUCUCCCCCCUUUUCCUUCUCUCCUCUCAAAGUUUGCCAGCGUCAUUGCCACCACUGGCGUCGUUGCUCCGCUCUCCGCAUCGCUAAUCCGUUGAGUCCGUCCAACUCCGGUGCCAUCACCGUUCUCCAUUUCUCCCCCUGCAUCACUACUCCGCAUUUUUGCCACCAGCGUCUCUGUCACUCGUGUCUCUUUGCCGGCAUCCCUCGCCUCUCCAACCACUUCUUCUCCGUCCCUAGCAAAACCUUAUUAAGAAGCGAAGAGAAAGAGAACCGUAAGUAACAUGCCGAAUUGCAAUGACAAACAACAGAAGAUGUGGCUUUUUCAAACUUGUUUCUCUGUGUAAUGCUUCUCACUCUUUCUCAAAUGCAAAACCUCAUUCGCCUCAUCAAUGAGCACUGCACUCCAUCUCAACUCAAACUUGGGGGGUUUGGUCCUUAUGCCAUACACCAUACUGAUCGAUGGAUUCUAUAAUCACGGGAGACAUAAAACUGCUGAAGAGGUUUUCAACCUUCUCCAUAAUAAAGGUUGGCGAGAUGUUAAAGCAAUUGAUGCUAUGACCAAUGGGCUGUGUAAGGACUAAGGAGGGCUUGUUCGACAAAGCAAUAAGCUUGCUAUCAAAUGGAUGGCAAUGGUUGUGCUCUAGAUGAUAUAACUGCUUUUGCAAUUGUUCAUGCUCUUGAAAAAAAUGAAAAAGAAAAAGCAGAGAUGCUUCUUUGUAAAAUGAUCUUUAGAGGCCUAUUGAAGCGUUAAAAGAAGGUAGGAUUUGGAAAAGCAGCAAGUAUGUUUUUCUUUGCUUUGAAGUAUAUGAAUCUCCUUUGAUCACCACUGUCUCAAAUGCUCUUCAUUCAUCGAACAUCAUGCCUCAAAAUGCAAAAUCAUGGUUGAUUGAAUUUGAUAAUGGGAAUCCAUUCCAGAAUUCGUCCACCAUCCUUUUCUUGUGAUAGUACUUUAAGAGGGGAGUGGAUAUUUUCACUCUCUAAUUGAUAAUGCCACUCUUCUAUUGUAUGGAAUUUCCAACAUAUCUUUAAAGUCCACUAAUUCUAGAAGUAUUAACCUUAUACAUCUUAUUAGAUGAGAUUCGAACAUCGAAACUUCUUGCUAUAGGAUUGUGAAAACCUUAUAUUCAUUAUGUAGUGUAUAGGCUAGAAAGUUCUAGUUGCUAUAAGAGGUUAUGUCAUUGGCUUGAAGUUACUAUAAAUAAAAUACUACUGGAAGCUUUGAAUUGUGUGUACGAGGUGAAUUGUGAAGUGUGAAGGGGAGAGUGAUAAUCGAAGAGUACCAGAGAGUGAGUGAGUCAAGUGCAGGUGUGAGAUGUAUAGAGAGCAAGAACAAUUAAGAUCUAGUGUUUACAUCAUUAGUAAGGCCCGAGUGUAAAUUGUGUCUCUUUAAAUUGUACUCUUGUGUUUAUAAAUUUAAAAAAAUCACAACUUUUGUGUCUCA